rnacentral:rRNA from 1 species
UACGUAGGGACCAAGCGUUGUCCGGAAUCAUUGGGCGUAAAGAGCGUGUAGGCGGUUUGUCGCGUCUGCUGUGAAAUUUCGGGGCUCAACCCCGAACUUGCAGUGGGUACGGGCAGACUAGAGUGUGGUAGGGGAGACUGGAAUUCCUGGUGUAGCGGUGAAAUGCGCAGAUAUCAGGAGGAACACCGAUGGCGAAGGCAGGUCUCUGGGCCACUACUGACGCUGAGAAGCGAAAGCAUGGGGAGCGAACAGG